rnacentral:rRNA from 1 species
UACGGGGGGAGCAAGCGUUGUUCGGAUUUACUGGGCGUAAAGGGCGCGUAGGCGGCGCGGUAAGUCACUUGUGAAAUCUCUGAGCUUAACUCAGAACGGCCAAGUGAUACUGCAGUGCUAGAGUGUGGAAGGGCAAUCGGAAUUCUUGGUGUAGCGGUGAAAUGCGUAGAUAUCGAGAGGAACACCUGCGGCGAAGGCGGGUUGCUGGGCUGACACGUGACGCUGAUGCGCGAAAGCCAGGGGAGGCAAACGGG